rnacentral:rRNA from 1 species
AGAGUUGAUCAUGGCUCAGGACGAACGCUGGCGGCGUGCCUAACACAUGCAAGUCGAACGGGGAUUUGUUUCGGCAGAAUCCUAGUGGCGAACGGGUGAGUAACGCGUAGGCAACCUGCCCCCCGGAUUGGGACAACACCCCGAAAGGGGUGCUAAUACCGGAUACGAAGAUAAUACCGCAUGGUGUUAUUUUGAAAGAUGGCCUCUAUUUAUAAGCUAUCGCCGGGGGAUGGGCCUGCGUCCGAUUAGCUGGUUGGUGGGGUAACGGCCUACCAAGGCGACGAUCGGUAGCCGGUCUGAGAGGAUGAACGGCCACAUUGGGACUGAGACACGGCCCAGACUCCUACGGGAGGCAGCAGUGGGGAAUCUUCCGCAAUGGGCGAAAGCCUGACGGAGCAACGCCGCGUGGGUGAAGGAAGUUCUUCGGAACGUAAAGCCCUGUUGUACAUGACGAACGUGCUUUCUAUCAACAACGGGAAGCAAUGACGGUAGUGUACGAGGAAGCCACGGCUAACUACGUGCCAGCCGCGGC